rnacentral:lncRNA from 1 species
GAAAGCCAAACAUAACUUGUUGAUUUCUCGGAUGCAUGCUCUUGGGAGUCAAAAUGCAGUGAGCCAAAAGUUAGAGAUGCUAUGCAAUACAUAGCGAACAAAUUGUAGACGUCCUAAAAAUCGAUAGAGCUUGAGCAGUCCAUGAACUGAUCCGUUUGUGUAUUUUUUCCAAUAGAGGUUGAUAGUCGCUUCUGGUCAUUUGCUUGGUGAGCAACUACCAUCCCAAGUACCGAACCAGUAACUGGCCUGACUCAAAGUGAAACCUGUUACUAAGCUCAGUACGAACAGAAUAAGA